rnacentral:lncRNA from 1 species
ACGGAAGUUCAUUUCUCCCUCAUAAGAGUCCAAUGCUGGUGUUUCUGCUCGCAUGAUUUCUAUAUCUGAGAAAUGGUGCUUGGAGUCCAAAUACCAAAGAAGCACAGAAUGAGGCAAGGGA